UCUUUGGAGUUUCUUGGGGCGGCGGGUGUGGUGGGAUUUCUUCUUGUCGCUAUUUUCUUUUCCUGCCAGAGAAGAACUUCAGCGAAUAGAUUCUAUGAAAGAGCAGUUACUAAUAGCUCUAAGAAAGAAGCAUAUAAGCAAGCUAAAGGGGCUCCUCCGCAAACAGAACAAAUUUAAGAGAAUGACAAAAAUGCCUCUAGAGCAAGUAGUUACAAUAAUAGGUGAUAUAAAUCUACCUGAUUUUGUGGUUCAAACAUUAGAGCAAGGUCCAGCAUGUGCUAUUACGAUGACGACCAACAUCAUGGACGACAUACAAAACUUCGAGCCCCUAUUAACAAACGUGGAUGAACUAGCACAAGACAA
rnacentral:lncRNA from 1 species